UACGUAGGGGGCAAGCGUUGUCCGGAUUUAUUGGGCGUAAAGAGCGUGUAGGCGGCCAGGUAGGUCUGCUGUGAAAACUCGAGGCUCAACCUCGAGACGUCGGCGGAAACCGUAUGGCUAGAGUCCGGAAGAGGAGAGUGGAAUUCCUGGUGUAGCGGUGAAAUGCGCAGAUAUCAGGAAGAACACCAAUGGCGAAGGCAGCUCUCUGGGACGGUACUGACGCUGAGACGCGAAAGCGUGGGGAGCGAACAGG
rnacentral:rRNA from 1 species